GGAAUUUUCCGCAAUGGGCGAAAGCCUGACAGAGCAAUACCGCGUGAGGGAUGACAGCCCUAUGGGUUGUAAACCUCUUUUUUCAGGGAGGAAGUUCUGACGUUACCUGAAGAAUAAGCAUCGGCUAACUCCGUGCCAGCAGCCGCGGUAAGACGGAGGAUGCAAGUGUUAUCCGGAAUCACUGGGCGUAAAGCGUCUGUAGGUGGUUUAAUAAGUCAACUGUUAAAUCUUGAGGCUCAACUUCAAAAUCGCAGUCGAAACUAUUCAACUAGAGUAUAGUAGGGGUAAAGGGAAUUUCCAGUGGAGCGGUGAAAUGCGUAGAUAUUGGAAAGAACACCGAUGGCGAAGGCACUUUACUGGGCUAUUACUAACACUCAGAGACGAAAGCUAGGGUAGCAAAUGGGAUUAGAUACCCCAGUAGUC
rnacentral:rRNA from 1 species